CCUACGGGGCGCAGCAGUGGGGAAUAUUGGACAAUGGGCGAAAGCCUGAUCCAGCCAUGCCGCGUGUGUGAAGAAGGCCUUCGGGUUGUAAAGCACUUUCAGUGGGGAAGAAAGCCUUGGGGCUAAUACCCUCGAGGAAGGACAUCACCCACAGAAGAAGCACCGGCUAACUCCGUGCCAGCAGCCGCGGUAAUACGGAGGGUGCGAGCGUUAAUCGGAAUUACUGGGCGUAAAGCGCGCGUAGGCGGUCUGAUAAGCCGGUUGUGAAAGCCCCGGGCUCAACCUGGGAACGGCAUCCGGAACUGUCAGGCUAGAGUGCAGGAGAGGAAGGUAGUAUUCCCGGUGUAGCGGUGAAAUGCGUAGAGAUCGGGAGGAAUACCAGUGGCGAAGGCGGCCUUCUGGACUGACACUGACGCUGAGGUGCGAAAGCGUGGGUAGCAAACAGGAUUAGAUACCCGGGUAGUC
rnacentral:rRNA from 1 species